CUUCAACAAAGAUCUAGAUUGCCAGUGGUGAUCUUUUUCAGUAUCAGAUCAUGACACAUCUGCAGAACAUACCUCAACCACCGUGAGGGAUAAUGCAGGAGGAUUUUUCAAGGAAGUUCCAGGUUAUCUCCUGAGAUCCAACCCUGCUGGAGGAGUAAACUUCCUACCCCAUAAAUGGCUUUGGACAUGAAAUCUGAGUGGAAGAGAUGUGUCCUUUUGGAACAUAAUUUUUAUGAGCCAUUGUUUCCACCAACUCGCCAUUUCUCCAUCGCCACAGGGCCCGCAACUCACCCUCCGUGGACAUAGAAACAAGCCUUAACCUGGAACAGAACUGCCCUGUGGACAGACAUCUUUCCCUUGGCGACUGAUCUUCCUGUUCAGAGGAGGGCACUGCCGAGAGCAUCCACAUUAAAAGAUGGUGACGGGUGCAGUGAGAUGAAGCAGGCAACUUGCAAAUACAGACAACAGAAAACCAUUUUGCCAACAAAGCUAUAAUCUUGGACCCAUCUGUGAAAAGAUCUAGGCUCCUUACACAGGAUGGUGGACAUGAGAAGACAUGUGAGAGCUGGAGGCCCAAGGACCAGAUCCACCAUCACCCCAGAUCAGGGCACAGACCACCUGCUGUGACCCUGGGACUAACCAUUAGAACAGUGUUUUAUCUGCUUUAGAGAACGCCUGUCAUACCAACAGAGAUCCUAAGAAAUUUGGUAAGGAUAUAAUACCCCAAAACAAACAGGUAUUCCUUAAAGUUCUAAAGACAAUGAUUAAAAGGGAAUUUAUAAUUACAUUUUGUCAACUUAGUAAAGUAGUGACUUCUGAAAGACUUUUUUCCCCCACUCUAAUCACCCCACCUCUAUUUGUGAAAGUUUUAGUACCU